ACCACUUGUAGUCGCUAGCCCAAAUCUUUUAUGGCCUAGUGACUCUCCUGAAGUCUUGAUCACCUUCAUGCAUAUUCAGAACCUAUUUGUUUCUGCUUUACAUUAUGAUAAUCUGGAUCGUGGACUGGUGAGCUAGAUUUUAAAAUAUUUGUAGGUCUUGCAAUCUGGAUUUUGGAUUCUAGCCUCUUUCUCACCCUUGAGCCAUACUAUUUUUUCCUCUCA
rnacentral:lncRNA from 1 species